rnacentral:rRNA from 1 species
CCUACGGGAGGCUGCAGUGGGGGAUAUUGCACAAUGGGGGAAACCCUGAUGCAGCGACGCCGCGUGGGUGAAGAAGCGCCUCGGCGCGUAAAGCCCUGUCAGCAGGGAAGAAAAUGACGGUACCUGAAGAAGAAGCCCCGGCUAACUACGUGCCAGCAGCCGCGGUAAUACGUAGGGGGCAAGCGUUAUCCGGAUUUACGGGGUGUAAAGGGGGCGCAGACGGCGAUGCAAGCCAGGAGUGAAAGACCGGGGCCCAACCCCGGGACUGCGCGUGGAACUGCGUGGCUAGAGUGCAGGAGGGGCAGGCGGAAUUCCUGGUGUAGCGGUGAAAUGCGUAGAUAUCAGGAGGAACACCGGUGGCGAAGGCGGCCUGCUGGACUGCAACUGACGUUGAGGCCCGAAAGCGUGGGGAGCAAACAGGAUUAGAUACCCUAGUAGUC